GGAAGUACCAGGCUAUAAGUUUCCAUUAAGGAGGUUUGGUCAGGACUGGACUCAGCACUGGCACAGAGGCAGCACAGCUAUGUGGGAAGAACACAGGCUGGUCUGCAGGUGUCUAGAUUUGGAUCCUAGCUCUGUUACUUACUACUUUGUGACUUUGAGCAAAUUCACGUCUCUGAAAGAUAAGGGAAACUGAGGUACAGAGGAGGGGAAGAGCCAUGAUUGACUUCAUGCAACUCAUCAGGGAGGGCACCCAGAUUUACACGUGGAUCUGUGUCACUACAAAGCAGUGCCCUUGACUUAACACUCCAUCACUUUCCAUACAAGCUUCAAACUGAACUCCACCUUCAUUAGCUUGGUGAGCGCAGACCGCUGAACUCUUCUAACAUCUGUCUUAGAGGUUAUGUGUUGGCUGCUGCGUUCAGAGCUAUCCUAAAAGUAACUGAAACAAGGGAUUUUUGACUCCAUGGCUAAACAGUUUCUGGGGAGCAGACCUUGAUUCUACCAUUACUUAGAAAACAAAUCAAAUUAGAGUCAGACUAGUGAUGUUGUCAGAACUUUUCAAACAUAAAGACCCAUGAAUGGACAUGUACACUUGGGAUCAAAAGCACUCUCCUCUUCCAAACAGCAGUCUACACUUGGCCUUUUGAGAGGCUGAGCUAUUGCCAAGGACUAUUUAGAUGGAAGAUUUGAUUGUUGGUCAAGGAGACACUGAAGAAGAGAUAAGAUGGUGUACUGGAAUGGAAGGAAGGCUCUGGACAUCAGAACUUUGGGCCACUGUACUGCUGUGUAAAUUUGCGAAACCUACUUAAUCCUUAUGGACUGUUUCCUCAUCUGGAAAAUGAGUUAAAUGAGAUCCAUUUUAUAAAAUUGUUGUAAUGAUUAUAUAAGUAAACACAUAGUAAUAUUAUUUGAUUUUAUUAUUAUUAUUAUGACUUGUCACUCAAAGCAUUUAGCUUUGGUGUCUCUAAUAUUCAGUACUCACAUUUAUGUUCAAAUUUGGAUGCUAGGUAGAAAUGAAGACUUUGUAUCUGCCACCAGAGAAGGCUAUUUAUUAUUUGUCAUUGCCUGUCACGAACUCACAAAGAUAGUAUUUGCCUAUCCAAAGGUAUCUAAUUCCUCAGUUUCUUAUGUGACUAUAAAGGGGCCUACUUUGAUCUUACCAUGAACUCAAAUCCUUUCGAAAUUUCAAUUUGUC
rnacentral:lncRNA from 1 species